rfam:Erinaceus europaeus unplaced genomic scaffold scaffold00427, whole genome shotgun sequence
UUCUCCUCUUGUACCCAUUGCAUGUUGGAGUUGUGAAUGCUCAAAACACCUCCGGUGUGCAUGGACUACAGGAGGG